rnacentral:rRNA from 2 species
UGGUGCGAUCAUACCAGCACUAGUGCACGCUAUCCCGUAAGAACUCCGUAGUUAAGCGUGGUUGGAAGAGAGUAGUACUAGGCUGGGUGACCUCCUGGGAAGUCCUCGUGUUGCUCCUC